AGCCUAACCCCCGCGAGUAAUCGCGUGGCAUGGCCUCAAAACCGUCCAAGGUAAAAAGCUCCUCGUCAGGAGCAACCUUGGACGGUCAUAUCGGGAAACCGGUAUGGGUGGGGUCGAAAGAUUCCAUC
rnacentral:sRNA from 1 species